GACGAACGCUGGCGGCGUGCUUAACACAUGCAAGUCGAACGGAAAGGCCCUGCUUUUGUGGGGUGCUCGAGUGGCGAACGGGUGAGUAACACGUGAGUAACCUGCCCUUGACUUUGGGAUAACUUCAGGAAACUGGGGCUAAUACCGGAUAGGAGCUCCUGCUGCAUGGUGGGGGUUGGAAAGUUUCGGCGGUUGGGGAUGGACUCGCGGCUUAUCAGCUUGUUGGGGGGGUAGUGGCUUACCAAGGCUUUGAUGGGUAGCCGGCCUGAGAGGGUGACCGGCCACAAUGGGACUGAGAUACGGACCAGACGCCUACGGGAGGCAGCAGUGGGGAAUAUUGCACAAUGGGCGGAAGCCUGAUGAAGCAACGCCGCGUGCGGGAUGACGGCCUUCGGGUUGUAAACCGCUUUCGCCUGUGACGAAGCGUGAGUGACGGUAAUGGGUAAAGAAGCACCGGCUAACUACGUG
rnacentral:rRNA from 1 species